rnacentral:rRNA from 1 species
CCUACGGGUCGCAGCAGUGGGGAAUAUUGGACAAUGGGCGAAAGCCUGAUCCAGCCAUGCCGCGUGUGUGAAGAAGGCCUUCGGGUUGUAAAGCACUUUCAGUGGGGAAGAAAGCCUUGGGGCUAAUACCCUCGAGGAAGGACAUCACCCACAGAAGAAGCACCGGCUAACUCCGUGCCAGCAGCCGCGGUAAUACGGAGGGUGCGAGCGUUAAUCGGAAUUACUGGGCGUAAAGCGCGCGUAGGCGGUCUGAUAAGCCGGUUGUGAAAGCCACGGGCUCAACCUGGGAACGGCAUCCGGAACUGUCAGGCUAGAGUGCAGGAGAGGAAGGUAGAAUUCCCGGUGUAGCGGUGAAAUGCGUAGAGAUCGGGAGGAAUACCAGUGGCGAAGGCGGCCUUCUGGACUGACACUGACGCUGAGGUGCGAAAGCGUGGGUAGCAAACAGGAUUAGAUACCCGAGUAGUC